rnacentral:sRNA from 1 species
UGUGGCUGAGGGGUCUGGCUGUGAACCUGAUUGCCAGAGUUGACUGAUCUGGCUGACCAGGUGGGUGUUCCCUUCCUACCCCAGGCAGCACUCUGUUUUCAUCCUUCUCAAGGCUACAUGCGUCAAAGACAACUACCUUCCCUAAUGAAGGAAGACCACUGGUCAAGGGUAGCUUGCUCACAUGCCAGAACCUUCAAACAAGUUCUCAAGGUGUGACUGAGGCUGUCCAGGAUCUGGUCCUGUGUGUCACUCAACCCAGCCUUGGAUGGAUGGAGACCCUUCCAUGCUUG